rnacentral:rRNA from 1 species
GAGUUUGAUCGUGGCUCAGGAUGAACGCUGGCGGCGUGCUUAACACAUGCAAGUCGAACGGGAAUUACUUUAUUGAAACUUCGGUCGAUAUAAUUUAAUUCUAGUGGCGGACGGGUGAGUAACGCGUGGGUAACCUGCCUUAUACAGGGGGAUAACAGUCAGAAAUGGCUGCUAAUACCGCAUAAGCGCACAGAGCUGCAUGGCUCAGUGUGAAAAACUCCGGUGGUAUAAGAUGGACCCCGCGUUGGAUUAGCUUGUUGUGGGGUAACAGCCCAGCAAGGCGACGAUCCAUAGCCGGCCUGAGAGGGUGAACGGCCACAUUGGGACUGAGACACGGCCCAGACUCCUACGGGAGGCAGCAGUGGGGAAUAUUGCACAAUGGGGGGAAAA